GUAAACAUAGUAUAUUUAAAUACAUUUCGCUUACAACGGAAAGCUCCAUAGGUGUUUACU
rnacentral:tRNA from 1 species